rnacentral:rRNA from 1 species
ACGGUCCUACGGGGCGCAGCAGUAAGGGAUAUUGGUCAAUGGGGGAAACCCUGAACCAGCAACGCCGCGUGAGGGAAGACGGUUUUCGGAUUGUAAACCUCUGUCCUCUGUGAAGAUGAUGACGGUAGCAGAGGAGGAAGCUCCGGCUAACUACGUGCCAGCAGCCGCGGUAAUACGUAGGGAGCGAGCGUUGUCCGGAUUUACUGGGUGUAAAGGGUGCGUAGGCGGCUUGGCAAGUCAGUAGUGAAAUCCAUGGGCUUAACCCAUGAACUGCUCUUGAAACUGUCGGGCUUGAGUGAAGUCGG